CGGGAGGCUGCAGUGAGGAAUAUUGCACAAUGGGGGAAACCCUGAUGCAGCAACGCCGCGUGGGUGAAGAAGGCCUUCGGGUUGUAAAACCCUUUUCCAGGGGACGAGAGAGGACGGUACCCUGGGAAUAAGUCCCGGCUAACUACGUGCCAGCAGCCGCGGUAAAACGUAGGGGGCGAGCGUUAUCCGGAAUUACUGGGCGUAAAGCGCGUGCAGGCGGCUUGGUAGGUUGGAUGUGAAAGCUCCUGGCUUAACUAGGAGAGGUCGUUCAAAACCGCCAGGCUUGAGGACGGAAGAGGGGAGUGGAAUUCCCGGUGUAGUGGUGGAAUGCGUAGAUAUCGGGAGGAACACCUGUGGCGAAAGCGGCUCCCUGGUCCGUAUCUGACGCUCAGACGCGAAAGCGUGGGGAGCGAACGGGAUUAGAUACCCGUGUAGUC
rnacentral:rRNA from 1 species